CAAAUUCAUGAUUCACCCUUUUUCUGAUUUGGUCGAUUGCUUCAAAGAUAUUCUGUCAGGUCCUUGCUUCACUUUUAUGGAGCACCGGGACUGCCAUAAUCAAAAAUAAAGCAUAUAAGUAACUCAAUAAAACAAUCACUAUGAUAUAUGAAGAAAUUAAAAGAAAGAAAGAAAGAAAGAAAGAAAGAAAAAGAAAGAAAGAAAGAAAGAAAGAAAAAAAGAAAGAAAGAAAGAAAAAAAGGAAGGAAGAAAGAAAGACAUGAUCAGGAAAGAAAAUAAAUAAAUGAAAAAAAAAGAAAGAACUAACAAAGAAACAAGAUCUAAUGUCAUAGUGACUUUUUUGUGUUUUACUAUUUUGGUCCAUGUUUGUAGGAUAAUAAUCUCUGAGCCUUUUUUGUAGUUAUUUAUUUAUUCUUGAUUUUGGCUGUUGUGGUCUUCCAUAUAGGUUAACAUUUUUUAAACCUUUAAAAUUAUCAUCAAUUAGUAUUUCUCUUUUCUCAAAGUCAUACCCAUUGAUUUUUUAUUUAUGUGUGCAUAAAUAAAAAAAAAAAAUCCCAUUGCACAACUUAAGUAUAUCCUCAUUGAUUGGUUUAUUUUUUUUUGCUCAUCAAAACACAUCAGAAUAUUACAAGCUUUGUCCAAAAACUGGGGUGAGACUCAUCCCACGGGUAUGAUGCAAUACAGCUGGCAAACUGGAAAAUGUGCAUCUACACAAUUUUCAAAAGUAUUUUUUACAUUACUCUUUCACUUUUUGCACAAAUUGUACCUACAUUCUAUAAAUUUAUUUUGUACUAUUUCAAUUGUUCUAGUCUUUUCCACAAGGUCUGAGAAGAUCUGCUGCAGAUAUAUAUUUUUAAACACGCUCAACACUAGAAAUAAUAGUAACAGUUGUCUGUGGAAAUAUCUCUUGAGUCAGAAUUUUGACAUUAAGAGUCCAUCAUGUAGUGCUGGUGAUGUUUCGACUGAGAGCUCAAAUUCAAAUAGAGAUUCAAUAAAUAGGAACAAAACAUUUUAGCCGUCAUUUUAGCGUGAAAAAUGUUUUAAAAAGACACAUGCACAAACACAAUGACCAGUACCAGGGUGAAUGACUUCAUUUUCAGGAUCUUAGAAAGUAUGAUGUAAGUUUUUCCUUGAAACAUCACAUAGGCUGUUGCUUACAGACUGUAUUGAGAAAUAGCAAAGAUUUGUAAAUAUUAACAUUUUAAGCAAGUUUCUGUCGUCUACAAGCAUUAGUUUCCACAAGAGUUGUUUUGACUUUUAUGUGUCAGAGUUAUUUUCACUUUUAUUAAUGGAAGUCUGAGUUGGAAAUGGUUUCUGAAGAAUUAGACUUUCUUGUUCAAAAGCAUCACCUGACAUGGUGGAUGGCAAUGCGGACAUUGUAGUGCGAUCACAUGGAGCGUAACGAUAAAGAACCAAGAGACACACCACUAUUCAUUCCAGCUGCGCACUCGUCUUUCUGCAGUGUCCAGACUGGAAAGCAAGCGGUCGGGAAGCACAAUCUGCAAUCCUACGACAGCUCACUAGGCUGAUCCAGGCAGGGGCCCGCUUCAGAACGGCUGAGAUGCCUCAAAACAAUACCUUGAAAGGAAACCGUGGAAAUUCUGAACUCACCGUUGAAGAAUGGCUGCAGUCCAAGGCUACAAAGGGUCCCUCUCCGGGCCUUGCUUCUCUGCAGUGGAGCCUGGGGCCCCAAGGCAGAACACUCUCCCCUGGCUCCAGAGUGGAAGUUGGGACUUCAGGUGAUCAAGCUCAGCUUUUCCAAAUAGCCAAAACGAAGCUUUACCAUCGUCGCUGGGUCAUGCUUUUUCUCUUCAGUGCAGUCUCAGCUAACAAUGCCCUCAUGUGGCUCCAGUAUGGAAUCAUUAGUAACAUUUUCAUGCGCUUCUACAACGUCGAUGUCCUGGCCAUUGACUGGUUAUCUAUGAUUUACCUGCUCACAUAUGUGCCCCUUGUUCUGCCCGUCCUCUGGCUCCUGGACAGCAGGGGAAUUCGCGAUGUUGUCCUCGCCGGGUCAGCCUUUAACUGCAUCGGUACCUGGAUAAAAGUUAGCAGUGCCAGUCCGGAUAUGUUCCUGGUGACCUUCUUUGGACAGUUUGUGUGCUCAGUUGCCACAGUGUUUGUUCUUGGCAUUCCUUCUUACCUUGCCUCAGUAUGGUUUGGAGAGAACGAGGUUUCAACGGCUUGCUCCAUCGGGGUUCUUGGAAACCAGCUGGGCUGUGCCAUCGGGUUCCUCUUACCUCCAAUCCUGGUGCCUAACGUGGAAGACAUGGACGAGCUGGCAAAGCACAUCAAAACCAUGUUCUACAUAACAGCAGGAGUGGCUACUUUUCUUUUUAUCCUCGUUAUCUUUGUUUUCCAGGAGCGCCCAAAGCUUCCCCCGACAUUGGCGCAGGCCUCAGCUCACACAAUGCCAGCGGAGGACAACUCCUAUGUAGCGUCCAUCCUCAGGCUGCUUCGAAACAAACCCUUUGUGCUCCUCAUCAUCAGUUAUGGUCUGAACGUGGGUUGCUAUUACUCUAUUGGAACUCUGCUCAACCGCAUGAUCAUCGAACAUUAUCCUGGUGAAGAAGUGAAUGCUGGGAGGAUUGGGCUCACAAUUGUGGUUGCAGGAAUGGCUGGCUCCCUGAUCUGUGGAGUCUGGCUUGACAGAACAAAAACAUAUAAACAAACUACUCUCGCUGUGUACGUCAUGACUCUGGUGGGUAUGAUCGUAUACACUGCAACACUCGACCAGGGACUCCUCUGGGUGGUGUUCAUUACUGCUGGAUCUCUUGGGUUCUUUAUGACAGGCUACCUGCCUCUCGGUUUCGAGUUUGCAGCUGAGCUGACGUACCCGGAGUGUGAGGGAACGUCUUCGGGAUUGCUGAACUGUUCGGCACAGGUGUUUGGCAUCAUAUUCACAAUCUGCCAAGGGAAAAUCAUUGACAAGUUCGGGACGUUGGCAGGAAACAUCUUCCUCUGUGUAUUUCUGCUGAUUGGCUCAAUAAUGACAGGUUUGAUCAAGUCUGAUUUGCGGAGACAAAUUGCAAAUCGACAGGCCAAAGAAGAGGCGGAGAGGCGGAUGCUGGAACAAGACUACGGAGCGACAACCCAAAUCUCAUCCCAGCCACAAACUCCUUCCUCUCAAGCCUGAUCAAACAAAAAAUUUCUGUUUACACAAAAAAAAUUCUCAAAUUUUAGCUCAACUUAGAGCAUUAGAAAGGAACCUCGUGAUUCCACCAUGGGAAACUUGGACUUACCCACCAUCAUCAAAGAAGUCCGGUUGUAGAGGAAUUAAUUUAAUCUGACAAUUUCAAUAUGAAGUACUGAUAAUCAUGAAACCAUCAGAUCUUUUUACCUUCUGAAUAGACUGAGACAAAUCUGUCAAACAAUGCUGCCUUGACAGUUUGAUCUGUCAGUAUUUUUAUUUUUUAUGUUUAUUAAUAUUACCUGACUACAAUAGAGCAACAAAGUUUGAUAUUUUGUUGUUCCACUUUAGAUUUGAUUUCAUUUCACAGUAGUUUUGAGAUUUAGGUGUAUGAUUAUGACCAGAGUUGCUGGGAAAACCGAAAUCGUAAUAGUGUUUUUUUUUGGUUUGUUUUCUUGUUUUUUAUUAUUAUUAUUAUUAUUAUUAUUAUUAUUAUUAUUAUUAUUAUUAUUAUUAUUAUUAUUAUUAUUAUUAUUAUUAUUUUGUGCAAACUUUAGGAGGUGAAGGCCAGUGUGAUUACAAGUAGAGUUUAUUUGUUAAAACCCAACUAAUGAAGACAAAGAGAAAUAUCUACACACUUUAUGAAAACAGUCACAACUUGUGCUGCUAUUAGAAUCCAUCAUUAGAGACUGGUUUAAAGGGGCAGUAUUAUGUAAAAUUGACUUUCUUGAGCUUCACACCAUGUUAAAAUGUCAUUCCCUCAUCAAACACAGACCUGAAGUAUUACCCUGAUUCUUUCAUUCUUGUUUGAAAAAUUUUUCAGUCUCUCAUGGCAACCAUUCAGAUGUGCACAACACCUGCGGGAACCUAGCAUCACCUUUGGGAUGUAACUUCACCCUGGUGCUGCAAUUUCAAAGCUUCUAAGCUUCUGCCUCACAGAACAGCCCUCCCCAGCAGCUGCUCCCCUCAGCUCCUUCAGACUAGUCAGCAGCAAUUAGUGCAAUAGGUGGAUCUGCUGUGCUUGUUAUAUGAGCUACUUCUCAGUGCAACGCUGUUAAAACUGCUGUUAAAACUGCUGUUAAAACUGCUGUUAAAACUGCUGUUAAAGGGUUAAUAGAAGAGUGAUGUUGUGAUUACGUCCUGAAGGUGCAACUUCAGAAAGAAAUAUUUGUUUAUAUGUAACAUUUUUAUAACAACUGAAGGCAAGUUAGUUAGUUGAUUGUGCCAUAAAAUUUCACUGCGUGCCUACAAAACAGAUAAUAUUCCCCCUUUACUGGAGAAAAAAUUCAUGUAAUUGUAUCAGCAAACACAGUAUUCAUUUCAGUUUUUAAAGGGCUGAAUCCUUACAGGAGAUUUCCAGUCACACUGACUAUUCAAAGCACUUUACACCAGAGCCAGAUUCAACCAAUCAUGCUCACAUUUGUACAAGAUGUAGAUUGGUAGGCAAUUUGCCUUGCUCAGUGGCACAUUGACAAAUAGCAGAAAUCAAACAAUUAAUUUGCUGCUGAGCCACAGUCACCCAUGAAGCUCUUUUACCUUCUGUGAAGACAAGUCAUCACCCCCUUGCAGACAUAUACAUUAUUAUUGCCCCUGGAGAAGAGGUGUAGAAGCCCCUCACAUCAAUUGUUAUUGACAUUUGACAUUAGGGACAUUUGGUAAUCCUGAGUAUUGUCCUCUUAGUUCCAGUAGCCUACUUCCAUUUUAUUUUAAUUUGCUCUACCAUCCUCUUCACUUGGUAUGGAUCUUGUUCAGUUUUGUGUCAUAGUUCUAGAUAUUUAACUUUUUUUUAUUUCUCCUGUUAUUUCUCUUUAGGUUGGUAGUUAUUUUCUUGAAGACUAAUUUUUUUCAUGUCAGCACAUUUUUAAAGAGCAUUGCUUAAAACACAUUUUGAAAAAGGAAAAUAUGGGUUUCCAGUUAAACACUAACUACCUUAGAAUAGCAAAGAAAAAAAUUACAAUCAUAUUUCACCUACAUUCUUAGACUGAAUUAUUUUUCUCCGGUGGAUUAUUCUUUUCAAAUUAAAAGUUGGAUUUUUCUAAAUUUGGAAGUGCAAUAAAAUAAAUAUUUACACUGUUAUAAAAGUGAUAUAAACAUUAUUAUUGUGUUUUAGUAAAAAAAUGACUUAUUUAUAACAAAAGAGGGGUUGUAGCUUCUUGCAAACUUACUGAAGUUUAUUUCUUAGGGAUUUAAGUUCAUAAAAAUAACUAGUCAGAAAAUGAGAGAAGAAAUUUGGGAACAAUAUUUAUUCAGCAACACAGACCCAGACCUUGCAUGCAAACAUUCACAUUCAGGCAUUCCAAAUUAAAGUUUGGACUAAUUCUGAGUCAUUCAUUUUUUAUAGGUUUUUGAUUCUCUGACAUAGUAAAAUACAAUAAGUGUCAGACAAACAAUCACACUCGCUUACAGACAUUAAAUGACUCUCGUUCUGAUUAGAGUUAUACUUUAUACUCUGUGAUUCCACUCCAAUCACAGAUGUCAUUAGAGUGGAACAAAACGUUCUGCUAAUCUAAAAGGUUCAUUAAGGAUACUUUCUAGGUCAGUUAGAGCAGACAGUUUCAAAAGUGUGCAAGAUCUGAAGUGUUUGUGCUGAGUUCUAAUUUCACUCUAAAAAAAAUACUGACUUUUUACUGAUUCAACGGUCUGAAUGUUUCCCACAUGUCCUCUUGUGUUGACUGGUUACUUUCUUUUCAGUUUUACGGAUUAUCACUACGUGGAUAAGCACAUUCACUCUCUAUGUUGCUACAGAAACAUGCUAUUUAGGUAGCAAAAGUGUAUCAUGUAUUUUCUUGAAAACUGUAUUUUAUUUUAUUUUACUUUUUGUAAUUUUAUUCUCAGCUGACACUGGGAUUGAUUAACUGAACCAAACAAACAAAUGCUGUAACACAACCUCUAGAGGGCGCCCUUCAUCCAUUUCUCUUUUCACAUUCAAGAGUGGAAUAGCCUGAUUUUGAAGACAAUGGCUAACCAUUGUUCUUCGGUUUUCAUCACUUGUCUCUGUUUGAAUUAGACAGGCAAUUGUGAUAUUAAAAUUAAGAGGAAAAGCAGCUCUAUAAAACAAGAAAAAAAACAUCUAGCCAAUUUUAACUUUUAAUUAUUGCCCAUCCCCCGCCCUUUUUUCACUACAUAAAUCCAGGAGGAGUCUUUAAUUUUGACUGACUAACCUAGAGCCUCAUAAUUUUGAUGAGUAGGCACUACAGACACAGUUCAUGUCAGUAGAAGGAUAUCCAUGAUUAAGGCAGGGACAUUUUUGUAAUUUGAUAUGUACAAAUACUCCUUUUUACUUUUUUAAACAUAAAAUAAAAUUAUUUUGUAAAGGUU